ACACAGAUUCCUCCCCAGAGCUUCCAGGAGGCACACAGACCCACCUACACCUUGAUUUCAGCCCAGGGAAACCCACUAAGACUUCCAGCCUCCAAAAGUGUAAGAAUAAAUUUGUGUCAUUUUAAGCCACUAAAUUUAUGGUGAUUUGUUACAGCAGUGAUAGAAAGUUAAUGUGUGCCUCUUUACCUCUCCUUCCCACUGCUAUGUAGUUAUGGUUUUGAAGAAUAUGCUUGAAAACUAAUUUGCCACCCCCUGAUUACCACGUAGAUACAAAAAUAAAUAAUCCGGAAAGUUACAGUAAAACCAAGUCCCUUUCAUUCAAUAAUGAAAGCUGUAGAGACUUGAUCAAGCUGGACUCCGGUGGACACAAGAAAAUAAACAACCGAGUCUUUCACUUAUCCUCACCCUCUUCUGCCCCUUCUGUAACAUUAUCAUACUUUCCUAGGUGAAAUGCUGGGCCUAUCCUAGAGCUUUUGUGGUCAGUUUCAGGUAUUUAUAACACCUCACUUUUAGGUAUGGAUAGUCCAGUCUGGUCUCACAUCCAAGCUUUAGUCACUCAUGGAAUAUCAAGCUUUUUCCCACCCUAACUUGGGCCUGAAGAAGUCCCUGAAGCCUGCAUAAGUGCAGAGGGUGCGCUGGGGUCAAAGGUGGUCAGCAUCCUGACUAGCUUCCUACCUGGAUCUUCCCCUUGCUUUGCUGGCUCUGGUUCCUUCAAGGUGGGGAGGUCAGAGGCAGGUGACUCAGAGAGUGAGAUGGCCAAAUGAUAGCUCUUUACUCUGGGAGCACUGGGAUGCCUCCAACCACUUAGUUCUCCAGCAAAGUGUCCCAAUCAUCGGCUGCCUCCUAACAACCCUCCCCCGGCUCCUCCACCAACGGCACACCCUGUAAAGAGGCCAGUUUUCUGUUACGAGCACCUCACUCCCUUCUCUUGGGGGUGCGGGGGGGUCUCUGUCGUGGUUAUGCCUUCCACAGUCUCCACUUGACUGAUGCUGAUGGCACCUCUUUGUUUUGCCUAGCACUGCAAGUGCAUGCCACCCUCCUUCAGCCCUUCCUCUCCACUCACCUGUCCCAGGCAGCUCCAGCCAGAGUCUCACCUUUUGCUUUUUCCAGGGAAGUUCCAUUCUGAGCUGUCCUAGGCCAAUUUGGCCAGGCAUGACCACUGGUUGGUGAAAGGUAAUAGCUACUAAUAUUCAGAGGUAGUGAGAGUUGAUUAUUCCUGCACAACUCUCCUUUUAGGUUAUUAUGAAAGCUCUUUGCAUUUGCACAAAAAAACGCUCUUAAAGGAAACCCUGUUAUAUCAUAGAGGUAGGAGUCAAAUAAGCUAUAAGGUUAGUAUAAGACAACCAGAUUCUUCUGAAGUAAUUGCUAACUACAGGACCAUGCAGGGGUCAGGCCUCCAGUGCCACUAGGGUACAGGCUACAGGUCCCUAGACCCAUGCCUGUGGCAUUGCUCAAAGAUAAAGUAUCCCUGUGGUAGCUCCCUCUGGUGUGGCAAUUAGUACGGGUAAGGGUAUAGCUUAACAGGCACACACAGUACCCCCCUGCCUAGGCUGGGGCUUUGGAGGCUACUAUCCCCAUUUUACAGAUGUAUGAGACACCAGGUGAAGUUACAUAAUCAGUCCAGGGUCAUGCACCUAGCAGCUGGGAUUUGAACUCAACACGGUGCUCUCAGAGUCUCUGCAUGAAGCCUGUACUAUGGGGCCCUGUGUCUUCCAUCCACGGGAGCAUUUUAACAGUUUUGCUCUCUGUGAGCAGUAUUCGUGACAAACAUGAAAUGAGCCUCAUCAGCUAUCAAACUGGGUUAAAAUCCAGGAUUUACCCCUUAAUAGUGAUGUAACUUGAACAAGUCCUUUAGCCCUGUUUCUCAUCUGGAAGAUGAGAAUAAAUGUGCCUACCUCAGAGGCCUGCUAAGAAGGCUAAAAGAUUUGCCAAGUACUCCAUAUAGUGCCUGACACUUAGCUGAGGUUUAAAAAAUGUUCAUCCCGCUUCUGCUCCACCAGCCUUUCCUCUAAGGGUCCUCAGAACCCAAGGAGUUUGUCCCAGUUGCAUCUUGUGUGACUUUGCAAAUACGCCUUUCACAGUUGGCAGACAUCUUUGACUGAAUGAAUAAAUUCUGGGGAAAUGAGAAAGUUUUCGUUCUCUGUGAAAGGAAGCACAGAUGUUAGGCUUUGUUGCACAAUGGGUUGAACAAUCAUGCAACUGGAAAUUGAGGAACUCUGUGCUCCAAUUUGAGGGAAAAUAAAGAAUGAUUCCCAAGCUGUGGUGUCCCAGCAUAUCCCAGAGCAGCUGUGGGGCACCCACAGCCACAAGGUGUGCUGCAAGUCAGUUGUUACUAAUAAAAAAAAGUACUGAAGCUUGUGAGUGACUCACUCAGAGCAGUAACACAUUUGACUAGAUAUGCUUUCCAGAGGGGAGAGAGAGGGGCAGAGCCUAGCUUGCAAGAAUCAUACACAAUUCUAGAUAGGCCUUUGGGAAUCUUGCAAGUAAAUGUCACCUGGACAGAUGCCAAAACUAAAAACGACUGCAUACUCUGGUUAAGACAGAUUGAAAGAACAUUUUGAGGCAAUCUGGAAUAACUAAUUUUUAUAUCCUCUUACCUCUGUUAAGUUUUGAGAGGAAUCAUAAAAGAAGAUAGAGGUGCCUUCCACAAAAAUGGGGUAUCUGUGGUUCUAAUAUUUUCCUUCAAAAAGCAUAUAUGAGUAUUUGUGUAACGAAAGUCAAUCAAAAGGGAGCUGCACGGUGCUCCGACGACUUUGUCCUAAUCCCCAGGGUGCCACUUUGCUCCUGAAGAAAGGCCCGGCCUUGUCUGAAAACUUGGAAGGGCCCAUCUUGGGUUAAGCAGGAAGGGUGGAGACACAAUUUCAGAGGUAAGGGUUAGAGGCCAUGUCCCCUGCCCUCUCGUUCUAUGACCAGUGAUGAGCAGCUAGAACCACAGGCCUCUGACAAUUUCAGCCAUGCCACACACUGACAGACGGCCCUCUCAGUUAAUUUCACUGCCUCAUCCUCUGUUCCCCAGUCCAGCCCAGCUUCAGAUCUGGUCUGCCUAGGAAGAGUGUUCAGAGAAUAUCAAGCUUGGGAGUUUCUUCUCAAAGGGGUCCUUGACCUCUGAGCACAGGCUCAGCUCAAAUCGGUCAGCCUGCCUGGGGCUCUCUGGCUAAGAUGGGGACUCUCUGGCCACAUGGGUGGAGCAGCAAGACCUCAGAGGCUGAUUCUGCUUUCUGCUCAUCCAGUUACCUUAGCAACAGGAAACAAGAGAAGGCAAAGCAGCCGCUACCACAGGCCGGAUCCAUUCACUGAGAGGCACAGGGAGUGCGGGGUGGUCAGGGGACCAGGGUUCCUGCCAGGGCACUGCUGGCCGCCGGCUGGCUGCUCUCUACAAGCUGCUUCCCUGGGCCUGAUGUAGAUGGGAUGGGGGCCAAGGCUCUCUGGAUGGCUCAAGGAGGCUGUCAAGGAGCAGAGUCCCUUCCUUCCCUGGGGAGGAGACCCUACUGUUUCUGCUCUGGGCUUCAGGCACAGGAAAUGCCCCAGGGCAACUAUCUGCCAGCUAGCCUUAUGUGACUUUGCCACUUGCCACCUGUGGUGCAGAAAUGUUCGCUGAUCCAGCAGAUGACUGAGCUCCAAGGAGGCUGGCCCUGGCAGCACUGGCCUACCAAGCCAUUCAGUGAGGCAGGCAGAGCAGAUACAAUGACGUCCAUGUUUCAGUGGGGGGACACAGAGGCCCAGGGAGGCCAAAGACCCUGGGGUCCCUUGGAUAAUGGCUGAGCCGGACCUGGACCUCUGUCCUCUACCUCCUGGCUUCAGAGCCUUUACAUUGGACAUGAGUACUACGAAACAGAAGCAUUCUCCAACCCUGUUUGUGGCCAUGAUUCUUGGACUUAACCCACGUCAGACACCUUUCUGAUGAAGAAAGAAAACCAGAAUGCAUUCACUCAACAAGUGAUUGCCUUGAGUGCCUACUAUGAGCCACGCUCUGGGCUAGGCACUGAGGAUUCAACAGCGAAUAUGAUGUGGUCUCUACAUCCAAGCAGCUCCCUGCACUUGCAUAAUUAAAUCUCCCAUGUUGACAUCGGAUAGAAUCCACACCCGUGAGAUCCCCAAAGUGGCCCCUCCUACCCUGCGGCCAUCUUCAUGUCCCAACAGAAUUCCUCGGGGCCUGCGUCUGUGGUAGGAGAAGACACACUUCUCCUGAGCAAGGAGCCAAGCUGAACUCCGUAGGCAGACGCUGAAGCCACCCCGGCUCUGGGGUGCAGCCUGGGCUCUGGGGAGUGGAGAGAGGCCCCUUGGCUCGGGGAGGAGACGCUUCCAUGACGGCGGCCGGGAGCAGCCUCCAGGACAGGGGCUGAGAAGCUGCCAGGGAAUUGGAGAGCAGCCUUGGGAAGAGCUGCCAAGGGCUGUUGGAAGGUAACCUGAAGCCCAUUCUUUUAACUCUCAGGGUCAUUGACAUCCUGUUUCCACAGAUGGACAGUUGGGGGCCACACUCCACCCACAGAAAAUUAUUUUCUGAAUUGGUACUCAGAAUCUUAAAGGCAGAUGCCUAGAGGUCCAAGCCAGCCUGGCCACAGGCAUCCUGUCACUAAAGCUUGAGGAAAACUGCCAUUGUACCUCUGUCCCUGUACUGGGUCUACCAUGCCCUAUUCUAUGAACAGAAAAAGCAUUUAUCAGCCUUUUACACUCUUUUAAUGUAGCUUUUAUCUGCUUGGUGAGAUGGCAGUGAGGUGAAAAUUUUCCACAUUAAAAACCCAACUUUUCCAGGCCAAAAUGCAGUUCCAUAUUCUUACCUCACAGAGAACAACCUCUAACUCAGAUUUCUGCUGUCUUCUGCGGAAUCUGUAGCCCCAGCACAUACUGUGGGUUAAACCUGGCAGACCAAAGCAAGUGAAAGGGGGGCAGAAAAACCCACAGCUGAGUGAGUUCAUGAGACAAACAGGAACAUUAAAAGGCAAAUUCGGGCCCACGUGGUUUCAGUUUUAAUGUACAGGGACAUAAUCCACAACAGAGGAAAAGAUAU